rnacentral:rRNA from 1 species
GUAGGGGGCGAGCGUUGUCCGGAAUGACUGGGCGUAAAGGGUGUGUAGGUGGUUUGAUAAGUUAGAUGUGUAAUCCCAGGGCUUAACCCCGGAACUGCAUUGGAAACUGCUGGGCUUGAGUGCAGGAGAGGUAAGCGGAAUUCCUAGUGUAGCGGUGAAAUGCGUAGAUAUUAGGAGGAACACCAGUGGCGAAGGCGGCUUACUGGACUGUAACUGACGUUGAGGCUCGAAAGCGUGGGGAGCAAACAGGAUUAGAUACCCUGGUAGUCCACGCCGUAAACGAUGAUUACUAGGUGUCGGGGGUCGAACCUCAGUGCUGAAGUUAACGCAUUAAGCACUCCGCCUGGGGAGU